rnacentral:rRNA from 1 species
UACGUAGGGGCUAGCGUUGUCCGGAUUUAUUGGGCGUAAAGAGCGUGUAGGCGGCCAUGUAGGUCCGGUGUGAAAACUCGAGGCUUAACCUCGAGAUGUCAUCGGAAACCAUUUGGCUAGAGCCGGAAGAGGAGAGUGGAAUUCCUGGUGUAGCGGUGAAAUGCGCAGAUAUCAGGAGGAACAUCAGUGGCGAAGGCGGCUUCCUGGCCUAAGACUGACGCUGAGGUACGAAAGCGUGGGGAGCAAACAGG